rnacentral:rRNA from 1 species
GGGGAAUUUUGGACAAUGGGCGCAAGCCUGAUCCAGCAAUGCCGCGUGAGUGAAGAAGGCCUUCGGGUUGUAAAGCUCUUUUGUCAGGGAAGAAACGGAUUUUUCUAAUACAGAGAUCUAAUGACGGUACCUGAAGAAUAAGCACCGGCUAACUACGUGCCAGCAGCCGCGGUAAUACGUAGGGUGCAAGCGUUAAUCGGAAUUACUGGGCGUAAAGCGUGCGCAGGCGGUUUUGUAAGACUGUCGUGAAAUCCCCGGGCUCAACCUGGGAAUGGCGAUGGUGACUGCAAGGCUAGAGUUUGGCAGAGGGGGGUAGAAUUCCACGUGUAGCAGUGAAAUGCGUAGAUAUGUGGAGGAACACCGAUGGCGAAGGCAGCCCCCUGGGUCAAAACUGACGCUCAUGCACGAAAGCGUGGGGAGCAAAC